UGCAUAGGAAUCUGCCCUGCAGUGGGGGAUAACCUGGAGAAAUCCAGGCUAAUACCGCAUACGUCUUACGAGAGAAAGCAGGCCUCGUUCUUGAAAGGCUUGUACUGCAGGAUGAGCCUAUGUCGGAUUAGCUAGUUGGUGGGGUAAAGGCCUACCAAGGCGACGAUCCGUAGCUGGUCUGAGAGGAUGAUCAAGCCACACUGGGGACUGAGACACGGCCCAGACUCCUAACGGGAGGCGAGCAGUGGGGAAUAUUGGACAAUGGGCGAAAGCCUGAUCCAGCAAUGCCGCGUGUGUGAA
rnacentral:rRNA from 1 species